UCUUAUCCUGAGUGGUGGAGGGACAUGGACCCAAUGAAACCCAGCAACCUCUUUUUUUAAAGAAAGGUGCCAAACCGUUUGCAGACAUAUACUCGUCUGAACGAUAAGA
rnacentral:ncRNA from 1 species